rnacentral:lncRNA from 1 species
GUAUCUGUCAUUCAUGAUGUUUAUGAUAAUGAAACUAAAAAUAUUUUUUUGCUUCCCAGGUAAACCUCCGUUCUAUUCUGAGAGCUCCACUGACAUUACAGAGAUGAUCUUACAUCAGGAACCACCACCUCCCAGACAGACAGUGCUUUUAGCCAGUCCUCCCAGUGAGGACUUCCUGAAUAUUCUGCAACGCUUGCUCAACAAAAACCCUGAUAAGCGGAUGGACUGGCCAGAGUUGUUGGGCCACUCUUUCUGGACACAAGUACUAAUGGAGGAAGAAGCAGAAGAAGUAGAGGAGGAUGAAGGAGGGGAUCGGGAGGAAAUAAGUAGCUGCGAGGGGGUCGUUAAAGCUAGCUUGAGAUACACAAGGAUCCCGGACCCCUUCCCUCCAGGACAUGCAGACAAGCACGCCCAGCCGCCCUCUGGGAUGUCUAAGAAACUAGUUUCAUCACAGACAACAACUUCAACAACUUCCCGGCCAUCUGACAGAAGGACUGAUUGCCAACGAGCUGUCAGACGCACCGCGAGUGGAGCUUUAAGGAACGACCGGGGCUUUGAUGGGGAGACGGAGAAGGAGAGAGGAGGAGAGGCAAAGACAGAAGAUGACCCCAAGCAGAUAUACCACACACUGCAGCCAAAUAAGUCAUUAAUGCUAGAUAACGUAUCAGAGCUCAGGCCAAAGAGUGGUGUGGAUGAGGACAACACGGAAGCCAUUUUUCUGCUCAGGUAUUGAGUUCAUUCUAUCUGCACCUGUUCAGCCCGGGUCACAGAGUUAAUGCAGGACUCCUUUGAAGCA